AUUUAACUCUUUUGCAAGUUGCAGAUUAAUGUUCUGGCCCUCUCCUUAGCUUCACGGCACCCCUCCCACCUCUCUCCUCCAGUCCUCAGCCACUCUGCUGUGGAACCACUUGAAUAGUAAGACCUCAUGAAUGUUUGCAUCCCAUCUUCGAUUCCUCUCUCCAGGGCAUUGAUGGCUAAUCAUCAAAGCUGGAUACAUCACUGACCAGCUGUGUGGUGUGCAUCACCAUAGCUCAAGGAUCUCUUGUAGCACCCACCCUACAGAGGACAGAGCCCUCACCUCCUGUGCUAUGGAUGGCAGUCCAUGUUCAAGAGCUACACACUGUUUCAUUUCAGUUUGUGUUUCGUUUGUGAACUAAGGACACUAACUGUUAAAGCUUUGGAGGUGAAUUCUUCCUUUCUUGCUUGAUAAAACGCUUUAGGUGUUUAACAGUCUGGGGUCUCCAUUGCGGUAUUUUGUUCUUCCCUGUGUUUUAGCCACAGGAGAUCCUGGUCAGCUCAACCCAUUAGAUGAGAAACCAGCCAGGCAACUGGAACAGAAGAUGGGCUACCGGCAGCUGCAGACAGAGUCAGAUCUUCAAUGCAAUAUUUAGCUCAUUUUAACAAACUUCAACUAAAGCACUAUUCUCUGCAAGUGUGUGCACUGCUUGUCAAUUUUACUCGACCUUGUAGCCAGCAAGCUCAUUGAUCACUUGAGGUUCUCAGCUCCACCCUUUUAUUUCAGUUUUCUAAGACUUUUUUGUCUAUGUUAUUUUACUAAUGCACUGUCUGAUGAAGCUGUAACUGUGAUAUCAAAUAAAGCUUUCACUUGAG